rnacentral:rRNA from 1 species
CCUACGGGUGGCAGCAGUAGGGAAUUUUCGGCAAUGGGGGGAACCCUGACCGAGCAACGCCGCGUGAACGACGAUGUUCUUCGUAAUGUAAAGUUCUUUUAACAGGGAAGAAAGAGAAAUUUGACGGUACCUGAAGAAUAAGCUCCGGCUAACUACGUGCCAGCAGCCGCGGUAAUACGUAGGGAGCGAGCGUUAUCCGGAAUUAUUGGGCGUAAAGGGUGCGUAGAUGGCAUAGUAAGUCUUUUGUAAAAAUGCUGGGCUCAGCCCAGUAGGGCAAAAGAUACUGCAAAGUUAGAGUGUGACAGAGGCAAGUGGAACUACAGGUGUAGCGGUGAAAUGCGUAGAUAUAAGUAAGAACACCAAUGGCGAAGGCGGCUUGCUGGGUCGCUACUGACGUUGAGGCACGAAAGCGUGGGGAGCAAACAGGAUUAGAUACCCGUGUAGUC